rnacentral:rRNA from 1 species
UACGAAGGGUGCAAGCGUUACUCGGAAUUACUGGGCGUAAAGCGUGCGUAGGUGGUGAGUUAAGUCUGUCGUGAAAGCCCCGGGCUCAACCUGGGAAUGGCGAUGGAUACUGGCUCGCUAGAGUGCGGUAGAGGAGAGUGGAAUUCCCGGUGUAGCGGUGAAAUGCGCAGAUAUCGGGAGGAACACCGGUGGCGAAGGCGGUUCUCUGGGCCUUACCUGACGCUGAGGAGCGAAAGCGUGGGGAGCGAACAGG